rnacentral:rRNA from 1 species
CAGUAGCCGCGGUAAUACGAAGGGGGCUAGCGUUGUUCGGAAUUACUGGGCGUAAAGGGCGCGUAGGCGGCCAUUCAAGUUAGAUGUGAAAGCCCUGGGCUCAACCUAGGAAUUGCAUUUGAUACUGUUUGGCUUGAGUUCGGGAGAGGUGAGUGGAAUUCCCAGUGUAGAGGUGAAAUUCGUAGAUAUUGGGAAGAACACCAGUGGCGAAGGCGGCUCACUGGACCGACACUGACGCUGAGGCGCGAAAGCGUGGGGAGCAAACAGGAUUAGAUACCCGAGUAGUCCCUGUCUCUUAUAC